rnacentral:tRNA from 1 species
CUAGUAAAUUAUAGGAGU